rnacentral:rRNA from 1 species
UACGUAGGGUGCGAGCGUUAAUCGGAAUUACUGGGCGUAAAGCGUGCGCAGGCGGUUCGUUAUGUCCGAUGUGAAAGCCCCGAGCUCAACUUGGGAAUGGCAUUGGAAACUGGCGGGCUGGAGUGUGGCAGAGGGGGGUGGAACUCCACGUGUAGCAGUGAAAUGCGUAGAGAUGUGGAGGAACACCGAUGGUGAAGGCAGCCCCCUGGGCCAACACGUGACGCUCAGGCACGGAAAG